UACGUAGGGUGCGAGCGUUAAUCGGAAUUACUGGGCGUAAAGCGUGCGCAGGCGGUUAUGCAAGACAGAUGUGAAAUCCCCGGGCUCAACCUGGGAACUGCAUUGGUGACUGGCGGGCUAGAGUAUGGCAGAGGGGGGUAGAAUUCCACGUGUAGCAGUGAAAUGCGUAGAGAUGUGGAGGAAUACCGAUGGCGAAGGCAGCCCCCUGGGCCAAUACUGACGCUCAUGCACGAAAGCGUGGGGAGCAAACAGG
rnacentral:rRNA from 1 species